AAGGAUUUAAGUUAAAUGAAACUAUUAGCCUUCAAAGUUAAAAUUAUAUAAAAUAUAGACCUUA
rnacentral:tRNA from 1 species